ACAGAUGGCUGUGUACUGGUGGCUCUGCGGGCCGCCCUGCGCAGUCAGAAGUAGUACGAAGCAGUACGUUCCUUCGUCUCUCUUGGAGGAAGUUAAAAAGUGUGUCGAUUGGCCAUUGCCAUGUGCUUCAGGGAUGUAUGGUCAGUGCUUGGUGAGGCAUGGCUGCUCAGGGCUCUCCUGGAAACAGCUGGGCUGAAGAGAACGUUGCUCUGAAAAAUGUCACCAGACACAAAACUCGCAGGCCAUGUGUAGAGAAGAGGAAAAAAUGAAAUACCUAUUCUUAAUAUUUUUCAUGAACUUAUUGCCACAAUAUGCUGGCAAGUCUUUGAGCAGAGAUGGCAAUUACCCAAAAACAUUUGAAGACAUUAGAAAUGAGAUAGCUGGCUAUUAUGAUAUUGCCAAAGCUAUAAUUGACCUUGCUGUUUAUGGAAAAGCUCAGAACAGAUCUUAUGAAAGAUUGGCUGUUUUUGUUGAUACCAUAGGACCUAGACUAAGUGGUUCAAAAAAUCUAGAGGCAGCCAUCAAGUAUAUGUACAGUGCCCUGCAGAAAGACGGGCUGGAGAAUGUGCACCUGGAGCCUGUGAAAGUACCUCACUGGGAAAGAGGAGAAGAGUUUGCCAUGAUGCUGGAACCAAGGAAUCACAGCAUUGCUAUUUUGGGACUUGGGAGCAGUGUUGCAACUCCUCCGGAAGGAAUUACAGCGGAAGUCCUAGUGGUAGCCUCUUUUGAUGAACUGCACAGAAGAGCUCAAGAGGCCAAGGGGAAGAUUGUUGUCUACAACCAACCUUUCAUCAGUUAUGGUGAAACUGUGCGGUACAGAUCACUGGGAGCAGUGGAAGCUGCUAAGGUUGGAGCAGUGGCAUCCCUCAUUAGAUCCAUUGCUUCUUUUUCUAUUGAUAGUCCACAUACUGGCUGGCAGAACUACCAGUCUGGUGUACCUCAGAUUCCCACUGCUUGCAUCUCUGUGGAAGAUGCUGAAAUGAUGUCACGGAUGUCUUUCCGAGGCACUAAGAUCGUUGUGUACCUGAAGAUGGGAGCCAGGACCUACCCAGACUCUGCUUCUUUUAACACGGUGGCAGAAAUAGUUGGAAGCAAGUACCCAGAGCAGAUUGUGUUGGUCAGUGGACAUCUGGACAGCUGGGAUGUUGGGCAGGGAGCUAUGGAUGACGGCGGCGGAGCAUUUAUAUCAUGGGAAGCAUUAUCACUCAUUAAGGAUCUGGGACUUCGUCCGAAAAGAACUGUGCGCUUGGUGCUAUGGACAGGAGAAGAACAAGGAGGAAUAGGUGCUGAGCAAUACUACCAGUUGCAUAAGGAAAACAUCUCUAACUUUGACAUCGUCAUGGAGUCUGAUGAGGGCACCUUCAAGCCAUCUGGGCUGGCUUUUACUGGUAAUGCCAAAGCUCGUGACAUCGUGAAAGAGAUCAUGGCUCUGCUACUGCCUAUCAACGUUACAGAAGUUUAUGACACUGCAGAUGGAACAGACAUCAAUUUCUGGAUGAGGGACGGAGUGCCUGCUUCUUCUUACAGAACAACUGCUCCAGGCACCUUGGCAUCUUGAUGGCUUCCAUUGCACUCUCUCCAGCAUGGAGCUCCAUAUGGAUCAAUAGAUGAUGUUCCUGGAGAUGAGGCCCCUGGUACAGCAGCACAGAAGCUUCAUGGUGGUGAAUCAAUCUGUGAAGAAACACUUGCACUUGAUGGCAAAGCUUGGAAGAUGAGUGGUCUCAAAGGACAGUGAAGCACUUGUGGAAGGGAAAAGGAGAAAAAUGGAUUUAUGUUUGAAGGACUGGCUGAGCAGUGUGUAGCAGGCCUGCAACACCUGGCAAUAAUAUGUUUCCUAGAGGUGGGAUCUGAUCACAGGACACCUGCCUGCUGUGCAAAGGGGACCCCUGUGAUCAAUGAUUUUGCCAGCUCAGAGGACACCAGCAUCACCCCAAGCCCCUCAGCGCAGUCUGAGUUUUCAACAGGCAUCUGGUCACAGGAGGGCACACGCUGGUUGUAUGUUUUUAGAAUAAUUGCCUUAAUGGAGUAAGUUGGACAAGCUGUGCUGCUUGGCUGUGUAACCUGAGGACAAAAUCAGUUUCACCAGCAGCUUGCUCAAUGCUCACUAAUAGGUCACGUAUAAGGAAAUUAUCACAGGAGUAGAGAGCAGAAGAACAAAAAGGCAAAACCCCCACAACAAAGAACUCCAAAAGCCCAGACUGAGAAGUCAGAGGCAUUGGCUGAGUGUUUGUGAGCAUUUCCCACCGAUGGCAGAUGAGUGAGGCGGUGCCUCGCUGCCUCAAGGAGAUCCCUACUGAGUUUGCUUUAGGCCCCUAAGCAAACACACAGUCCAACCCAGGAGGACUGUUGGCCUCAACAUUUACCCAGACAUGAGAUUUUCUUCUGUGGCUCUAAGGGAGUCACAAAUGGCCCUAAGUGGCAGCCUUUAGACAGCUGAAAUGCAUCACUCUGCUGAAGAGGGAUUCCUGCCAUCCUGUAAUCAAUUAUCUAUGUAGUGUCUUACUGAAACUGAUUAAUUAUUUUCAGGUUUUGAUUUUCAGUAUUUUUGAUGCAUUUGAAUAAUGAGUACAGUAUUUGGCAGCUGCCUUUAACAUUCCCUAUUUUCAUGCCAUAACAUUUACUACCUCCAGCUAAAAGCAGUUUCUCACUGAAUUCCUUAUUGGCCAGCAGUGUUCCUCAUGUGAUUUGCAUCACUGUAAAUCUGAACAGACUGAAAAAGGCCAAUUAAAGAGGGUUGUUUGGCAAACAUUCCCUUUUUCUUUAUGGGUGUUCUUGCUCUGCAAUCUGGAACAGAAGAAAGCAGAAAAGAGCAUAAAACGUAACAGUGGAGCAUGGAGCUCAUCACUGGUUUUUCUGUUUGUGAAUUGGUUCCACCUGGAAAUCAGAGUUAUGUAUCUCAUGUAUACCUGUGUAACACCUCCCAUCUGAGGAUUUUAAAGUACUUAACUAAACCAUUCAACAUUCUUGUGAAGCUGUUGCUAUCCACUUUGUAGAUAGCUAGCAUGGAGAUGGGUAAAUAAUUUAUUGGCAGAUCUAUGAGACAUGGCUACUCACCUGUUUUUUCUUGACUGCUAGCUUAUAUAGCUUGCAAAAAUGAAUUUCCAUUUGUUACUAUAUGUAUCUGCUGUUCCUCAGGGAGUUUACACCAUCUAAAUAAUAACAACAAAUCUCUCCAGUGGGAAAAACAAAACAAAAAAAAAGCACAAAAAUAAUUGGUAAUUAGUGCUUUAGAAUUUGUAUGUAAGUGAAUUUUUCUGAUUUCUUAAUAACUGUCAAACUUCUGGAAGUGACAAAUUUGGCUACUGGCCAGAUUUUGCUUGAGAAGAGUUAAUAAUACAGUAUCUGUGUUGAAUCCACUAAGGUCAGCCAGCCAAUCUACACUGAAAUCUUACUGUCCAAAGCAGUAUGCAGAAUUCUCUCCCUUUCACCUAAAUUCUGUGGGAUAACUGUUAUAUUUAAAGUUUUUUUUUUUCCUGUUCAUAUAUCAGAAAAAGGGCUGUGAGAUCCCGCUGGCUUUAUUUAAGUAAUCUGACAUGACUUCUGUCUGCAGAGCCCCUCAGAAUUUCCCUCUUCAAAGUCAUUUGCACAGGUUGAACUCAAUCUGGGACAUGUGCUGGUGAAGGGGCAAUAUUCAGCAUCUUCCCACAGCCUGGCGACCUCUGAAAGCCAUAAAUAUCUUCUGGCAACUAACGUCAAUGUAGAGCACUCUCGUAGUUGGAGAAGAAGAUGUGAAAAUUGUUUACAGUUAUAUCUGUGUCCCAGGGUGUUUCAUGUCUAGAAGCUUGUGCUGGGUGCUCUACUGUACACUUCUCUUGUACUCGAGGCCAAGAAUACAGAUUUUCACGUUUGUUUCUAAUUACAUACGAUGAAACUCCUUUCUUUGGGUCUUUUCAUUAGUCUCGUAAAAUGUUCACAGCUCACUGACUUCAGUAAUAGCCAAAGGCUUUCAAGAGUCAGCAUGGCCAGAUCAGGAAUUCUUCAAUAUUUUCUCUACUGACUGGCUUUGUAACAAAUCCUUCUGCACGAGUUUUUAUACAGUAACUGCUUGGCGUCAAAGUUACAUCAUUAUCUUAUUUUUAUAUCAAUUUAGAGAAACAAAUAUUUCAACAUUUUGCAGAGUUAAACAUUACAAAGUAAACAUAUUUAUAUUUGUUCCUUUCGCAGAGAAAAAAAAGACACUACCUUCUAAGUUAGUAACUACUAUGAUUAGUGGAACGUCUACUACAAAUUCCAGCCUAUUCAUUUUUGCUGUGAUUCUCAUUAAAAUGUUCAAAAAUUAUAAUGGACUUGCCUCAGUGACUUAACUUGUAAUGCUUCUGUAAGGCAGAAUUCCAUUAGUUAAAGGAUUUAUCAUAGCUCAAUUACUUCAUGAUUGCCAAUAUUUAAAAUUAUUCAGAAUAAAAUUUAAAAAGUGAAUAUGAGUUGACAUAAAUUGAAUGUUACAAUGAUUGGAACAUAAUUCAGAACCUGUAACAAACCCAUAAACUUGGGUAGGACUGCAUCGAUUCAAGUCAAUGGUAAAUAAGUUUCUUGAGCAAGAAGAGCCUCUUAAAUGAAAUCACAAAACCAUGUAAGCGUAUGUUGCAGCCUUUGGUCUUUCUGCAUAUCAUGUCUUAUGAAGGGAUCUUCAUAUCAGAUGGAAAAAAAUCCCUUUUGUUUUCCUUCUCUCUAAAAGAGUAGUGAAACAAGCAGUCUAGAUUAGUUCCCAUUACAACAGGAGUUACACAGCAAGAGCUGGACUAUAUCCUGGAUGACUAUGAGUGAUCAAAAGCUAUGUACUAUAGGAAAGUACAGUUAUAUUGUAAGAAAUUCUUCUUUCAUUCUCAUCAAAGGCUUCAUGCAUCUCAGUGAAAAAAACUCAUUAUAGCAAGUCUUAUGAACGCAUGUGAAUUUAUCAAAGCCCUCAUCAUCUGAUGCUGAUUUUCCACUGCUUGUAAGUAAAGAUAUGAAUAAUUUAUUUCUUAUUUAUAAUCAAAUAGUCCUGAUUUUUUUUCCGUAGUACUUAAUAUAGUAGGAGUAGUUUCAGUCUGUUUCUGACUGUGGCCCAUAGCUCUUACUCUUUAACUCAUAUCAAAACUUGUUUUCUCUGCUCUGUGAACAUCCAAGGAAAAGAAGCUUUUGUGCUAGCAAAGAGAGCUGCACGCUUUCUAUGCCUCAGCAUUUUGCAAGGUAAAUGAAUCGAGCCCAAGAAAUUACAAGCAGGGAAUCAAUGUGGUGUUGGCAAAUACCACGUUUACUUAUUUUCUGAAUUUUAGGUAGAGUUUUCUUAUGAUGGGAGAGUCGUUUACAGUAAUAUAAAGCAAGUGGAAGCUGAUAAAA